rnacentral:misc_RNA from 1 species
UCAAAAUCUAGGUUUUGGUGGUGGGCUUGGAUUUCUUAUAACAUGCAUUAUCAGUUUGUUGAUCUUUGAUUAUGUGCUGUAAUUUAAAAAUGAAUGAGCGGCAGGACUGACCUUUUCAUAUGAUAACAGGUAAAGUUUUGGUUAUAUUCAAGUCAAAAGUUGCAGCUGAAUCUGCAAUAUCCAAAUUGCAAAAGAGAUGCCUAAUGUUGGGAGAUGGGAGACCUAUUGUUUGUAGGAGGGGUUCUCUAAGGGAUCAUGGUAAUCAUGCCAAUUUCAUUGGCCAUCUGUCUGUUCUCAAAUUCAAGCUAAGGCAAUCUGAAGAAAUGGUAACAGAUAUCGCUAGCAGUUUGUUCUUACUUUCAUUAUGCUGCUGUUAACAUCUGGAUGUUCCAUAAGUACUAUUAAAAAAAACUAUUGUUGAUGUCUUUCUUAACCUUUUCUUUUUCUCUUUACCAAGCGAAAAGCAGUGUCAACUGCACACUUCUCCCAGUCCAAUACUGUUGAAUAUGAUAUGGCAAUGGAGUGGCGCAUGCUACAGGAGAAGUGUGAUAUGUGUUGGAAGAAAUUGCACAUGGUACUUUACAUUAUCCAGUUUUCUUUGUUUAUUAUGUUUAUUCUUACAUAUAAACAUGUCUGUGUGCGCAUGCACAAGUGUGUGCAUGUGGGUGCAUAUGCGAGAGAGACUACCUACUCUUGAAAUCGUUGAGAGCAUUUUAUUGGGAGUGUGCAUUUCAUCAAGCUUGCUCUCUGGUUGUUCUUUUUGAAUUUUUUCUUUUUUAUGUUUUUCAUAAGUGGAGGGGGAAGUUUCUAGUGCAAACUUGAAUAAUCACUCUUUAUGCAGGGUAAUUUUUACCCACUGUCCCUCAAUAUUAGGGUUGUUUCAUCUUCAUCUCACAACCUCAAUCAUCAAAGAACCCUAAACUUCCAUUUAAUCUUAUCAAAAAUUCCUCACCAAAUUCCCUCACUAAGUCACUCUGCAAAUGACAUAUGCUCUCUAUACAAACCACAUUCCCUCCUCCGCAAAUAACGCCCUCUCUUUCUCUUCCCCCCUCUGUAAACAACAAUUACAUCUUUUAUCUUCCACACUUUCUCUUUCCCUCUCUAUAUAUCUCUUUCUUUCCAUAAAUUAACAAACCCAAAUUCCAUCAACAACAAUCUCAACUGUAGAAAGAGAUGAUUCUCCUUA